CCAGGUCUGGGGCAGAGGUUCUCACUGGUCCCUAGGGGAGAGAGCCAUUCCACCCAGGCUCUUCACGGCGUACACUAUAUGCAGAGUAGUCAGAUUCAGGAUCAUCGCUGCAGGAGACACAGAAAGAUUCAAAGACGUUACUAAUGUCAAGCAACUUCUUUUUGCUGUUCCUGCCCUGAUCCCUGUGUCCUUCGUUACCCUCAUCCCCUUUCUGACUGAGGCUUCCUGGGUGCCAGAGCAUGUAGUGUGUGAAGCGCAGAGUGCUGCAGGCUCCCCCUCCUGAACCCCCCAGGGAGAGGAGGUGUUUCCGUGUCAACCCAGGAUACCGGCUGGCUAUGCUUUCUGUCCUGCAGUCCAAGAGACUGAACACUAGUUUCCAGGCUCAAUGGCAAGUACUCUCACCUGAUAAAUGCCCCCACCCCACCCCACAGCAUCAAGUGAUAUCAGUGGCUGUUUCCUGAGAUGCAGUUGAUCAGCACUUCCAAAGAAGCAGAAACAAGCAAUUGUAACUCUCACAGCAACCCGGCAAAGAUGAACAGAAGAUAAGAGCUGGGGUGGCCUCCAGCACACUUCCUGUUGGCCGGACCUGUAGCAGGGCAAACAGGGAGGCUCCUGCUGUGUCUCAGUGAGACAGGACACAGUCAUCCUGGACCUGGACAGGAAAGUGACCCAGUGACCCUUGGAAGUUUAAGUCCAGGUGUUAUGGCCCAUCUUCCUACCAUGUCAAGUCAGACAGCACCUGAGUCCUCCCAGCUGUGCUCCUGAAGGAAGACACGGGCAUGCUCUGUUAAGUUUGAGCUUGUGGCACCAUGACACUGGACACUCUUUUGCCAAAUUGCUACGCUGUUGGAUCCCUUUCAGACAGAGCUAUUUCAAAUAAGAAUGCUGAGCUAGAACAACACGAACGACCCGGUGUAUAGCCUUGCUCCUUCCCCAGAUACGGACCUGGAUCUUUCUGGAAUCUUACAAACAUGAUCUCUUCAUUUACAGUAACAAAACCAAACGAACACCUUAACUUUUCCUGCAACCUGUGACCCAGGGCUUUACUCCAGCUGUGAUCACAUCUGUUCUAUGAACUACUUUAUAUCAUCCAAGGUAGACUAUACACAAGACUAUUGUAAAGACACUGAAACGUGACUCUCUGGAGAAGUCCACACACUCACCCCGGGUGUGUUUGAACCUUUCCUGAAGUGUCUCUAUUAACCUCUGUAUUAAAAUCUAGGCUAAGGUCUCUUCUCAAAAACUCCACCUCAGCCUCGUACUGACUUGUCUUGAAAUUGUUUUGGGACUGGAGAGAUGGCCCAGUGGUUAAGAGCACUAAGUGCUCUUCCGAAGGUCCUGAGUACAAAUCCUAGAAACCACAUGGUGGCUCACAACCAUCUGUAACAAGAUCUGAUGUCCUCUUCUGGCGUGUCUGAAGACAGCUACAGUGUACUUACAUAUGAUAAAUAAAUAAAUCUUUAAAAAAA